GUUGACGGUGGGGCGUCGGGUGCGGUAAGACUGGGGGGGGUAUGGGUUGUCGGAAGGAAUGUGCGGCAAGGGAGCGGGUGCGGGUUGGACAGUUGGGCGGUAAAUUGCCGUGCUUAACCGGGUGGCUGUGCUCAAUACAUCCAGGCUUGAGUGGGGAAGAGGGUCGUGGAGUUCCCAGUGUAGAGGUGAAAUUCGUAGAUAUUGGGAAGAACACCGGUGGCGGAGGCGGCGACCUGGUCCUUUACUGACGCUGAGGCGCGAAAGCGUGGUGAGCAAACAGGAUUAGAUACCCGAGUAGUC
rnacentral:rRNA from 1 species